rnacentral:tRNA from 1 species
AGAAAUCUAAUUUAACAAAAAAAUAUAAGUUUGUCAAGCUUAAAAUGUCUAAUUAAGACGAUAUCUA